rnacentral:rRNA from 1 species
GUGCAGCCGCCGCGGUAAUACGUAGGUGGCAAGCGUUGUCCGGAAUUAUUGGGCGUAAAGCGCGCGCAGGUGGUUUCUUAAGUCUGAUGUGAAAGCCCACGGCUUAACCGUGGAGGGUCAUUGGAAACUGGGAGACUUGAGUGCAGAAGAGGAAAGUGGAAUUCCAAGUGUAGCGGUGAAAUGUUUUGGGAUUUGGAGCAACACCAGUGGCGAAGGCGACUUUCUGGUC